rnacentral:lncRNA from 1 species
UUUGCAUUUCCGCUAAGUGAUGGUACGCUUGUGGGUUGAGGAUAUACGCCUUGGCUACUGAAUAAUGAUGGAUCACCGCCCUACCCGAGUUGGUAAGGUUUUCGGUGUUGGUAAACCGAUGGUUUCCUAUAUCAUCAACGUAAUUUUUCAUCUCAACAGUCGACAAAGGUGACGAGUGGUGUUGUUUGACGUAUAUUACAUCUUUACCGCCAAUUGUAACCGAUGUAAUCACAUGAGUGCCAAAAGUCUCGAUAAAACUAUCGCACAAAAUGAUAAAUAAACAGAGCAUUAGUGAUGAUGUUCGUUCAAAGCAACUCAAAAUCUCAAAUAUUCUUUUACUUCAAACAAAAAAAAAACGAUACCUCGCUAAGGCAGGCGGGUCCCAUGAUGUGGGGACCGCGCGUUUAACACUUUCUUGCAACACUAAAGAGGAAUUUGUGAGCUCAAAUUUAGAAAGUGGGAUGAAAUAACCAUCCAUACAAAGGGUCUUAGUGGCUGCGGCAUCAAUAUUUUUAGAACCCGUAAAACCAAAUGCAGUGUUAAAGCUACC